rnacentral:tRNA from 11 species
CAGUGGCUGAGUGGAUAAUUCGAUGGCAUUUAAGGCGAAAGGUACUGGGUUUGAGUCCCAGAGUGAA